rnacentral:lncRNA from 1 species
CACUAUCAUCACCACCACCCCCAUCAUCCAUAGCGGCGCCAUCAUCUCGAAUCUACUUCAAUUAGCAGAGCCGCAGUAGAGUGCGCGAGUGUGCGGUUAACUGGCCAGUCUCUCCACUUAUAGUAGUGGUCGUAGGAGUAGUUGUAGCGGUGUGCGCGUUUUGGGGACACGGAAAUGGGGGUUGAAGGGCUUCUAGUUUCCAGAAACGGAGAGCGGGCAGGGGGGAUGGAGGAGAGGAGCGUUUCUGUCUGCCGGCCUAGGUUUCUAAGAGGGGGAAGACAGUUGAGGGGAUUUUGUUUUCUACUGAAAGCGAG